UACGUAGGGCGCAAGCGUUAUCCGGAAUUAUUGGGCGUGAAGAGCUCGUAGGCGGUUUGUCGCGUCUGCCGUGAAAGUCCGGGGCUCAACUCCGGAUCUGCGGUGGGUACGGGCAGACUAGAGUGAUGUAGGGGAGACUGGAAUUCCUGGUGUAGCGGUGAAAUGCGCAGAUAUCAGGAGGAACACCGAUGGCGAAGGCAGGUCUCUGGGCAUUAACUGACGCUGAGGAGCGAGAGCAUGGGGAGCGAACAGG
rnacentral:rRNA from 1 species